rnacentral:rRNA from 1 species
AGAGUUUGAUCCUGGCUCAGAACGAACGCUGGCGGCGUGGAUAAGACAUGCAAGUCGAGCGCUGAUUACGGGGUAGCAAUAUUCCGUGGUCGGAGCGGCGCAAGGGUGCGUAACACGUGGGUAAUCUGCCAUGAAGUUUGGAAUAACUCGCUGAAAGGCGAGCUAAUGCCGGAUGUGAAAGCUGGGAGGCAUCUCUCGGUUUUCAAAGCUGGGGACCGUAAGGCCUGGCGCUUCAUGAUGAGCCCGCGGCCUAUCAGCUAGUUGGUAAGGUAACGGCUUACCAAGGCUAAGACGGGUAGCUGGUCUGAGAGGACGACCAGCCACACUGGAACUGAGACACGGUCCAGACACCUACGGGUGGCAGCAGUCGAGAAUUUUUCACAAUGGGCGCAAGCCUGAUGGAGCGACGCCGCGUGGGGGAUGAAUGGCUUCGGCCCGUAAACCCCUGUCAUUUGCGAUCAACUGUUGUUGUUUAAGAGAUGACAACCUGAUAGUAGCGAAAGAGGAAGGGACGGCUAACUCUGUGCCAGCAGCCGCGGUAAUACAGAGGUCCCAAGCGUUGUUCGGAUUCACUGGGCGUAAAGGGUGCGUAGGUGGCGGAGUAAGUCGGAUGUGAAAUCUCCGAGCUCAACUCGGAAAUGGCAUUGGAAACUGCUCUGCUCGAGGGUUGGAGGGGGGACUGGAAUACUUGGUGUAGCAGUGAAAUGCGUAGAUAUCAAGUGGAACACCAGUGGCGAAGGCGAGUCCCUGGACAACUCCUGACACUGAGGCACGAAAGCUAGGGGAGCAAACAGGAUUAG